GUUGCUGCCAUAGUUAAGGACCAAAAUGAUGCAAUUACUACUAUGAAAUCUUUACCAUUACAACAACAAUCAGCUAAAACUUCAACUAUCAAGUAUUACUACCAUAAGGUCUUAAUUGAUCUGAAUGUGUACAACCACAAUUAGAAUAUAACAGCAACAACAACUAAUAGAAAAACAUACAUAAACCAUCCUUGAACUCUUCCAACACGUGCAGAAGAGGCACUUUGGCACAGAUUGAAUCCGUACCAAAUAUCUCUGGGAAUGAAAAUGUUGUAGUCAAAUGUAACAGGAUAAGAAUUAUACCCAUAAAUCUUCACAGUCUCAGGCUUCCAGCCAUCAGGUCCAGUUCUAUACAGAUAAACAUAACAUAUCUGAUAGGCACAUGGUCCACUUAUCUGAAAUGAAUCAGAAGAGCACCGCUCGAAAGUCUUCGUAGAUGGAUCAUCCAGCCUUGGCGCAUAAAUCUGGUUGCCAUAAGCGUCUCCGAAAGCAAGACUGAUCUGAUCGCGGGUGUAUUUGGGUGAGGAACAGCUUGUUGAGAUUAUCACUUGGUAAGAGCAGCUUCCCACAGUCUGGAUUAAACUAAGAUUGAAAGAGUCCAGAGCAUGAGGCUUGGGGCUGAUUGAUUCUGCUUCUGCUAUGAUAAAUAGAAAGGCAAAAUAGAGCAUAAAAGAAUAAGCGGCUUUAAUCAUUUUGCCCAUGAAACCGCACAGGGAUAACGAGAGAGUAGGUGUCAGAGGAUG
rnacentral:misc_RNA from 1 species